UACGAAGGGGGCUAGCGUUGCUCGGAAUCACUGGGCGUAAAGGGCGCGUAGGCGGGUCUUUAAGUCAGGGGUGAAAUCCUGGAGCUCAACUCCAGAACUGCCUUUGAUACUGAGGAUCUUGAGUUCGGGAGAGGUGAGUGGAACUGCGAGUGUAGAGGUGAAAUUCGUAGAUAUUCGCAAGAACACCAGUGGCGAAGGCGGCUCACUGGCCCGGUACUGACGCUGAGGCACGAAAGCGUGGGGAGCAAACAGG
rnacentral:rRNA from 1 species